AUUGAACGCUGGCGGCAUGCCUUACACAUGCAAGUCGAACGGUAACAGGUCUUCGGAUGCUGACGAGUGGCGAACGGGUGAGUAAUACAUCGGAACGUGCCUAGUAGUGGGGGAUAACUACUCGAAAGAGUGGCUAAUACCGCAUGAGAUCUACGGAUGAAAGCAGGGGAUCGCAAGACCUGGUGCUACUAGAGCGGCCGAUGGCAGAUUAGGUAGUUUGUGGGAUAAAAGCUUACCAAGCCGACGAUCUGUAGCUGGUCUGAGAGGACGAUCAGCCACACCGGGACUGAGAAACGGCCCAGACUCCUACGGGAGGCAGCAGUGGGGAAUUUUGGACAAUGGGCGCAAGCCUGAUCCAGCAAUGCCGCGUGCAGGAUGAAGGCCUUCGGGUUGUAAACUGCUUUUGUACGGAACGAAAAGCCCCGGGUUAAUACCCUGGGGUCAUGACGGUACCGUAAGAAUAAGCACCGGCUAACUACGUGCCAGCCGCCGCCGUAA
rnacentral:rRNA from 1 species